rnacentral:rRNA from 1 species
UACGUAGUGUGCAAGCGUUAAUCGGAAUUACUGGGCGUAAAGCGUGCGCAGGCGGUUUUGUAAGUCAGAUGUGAAAUCCCCGGGCUUAACCUGGGAACUGCGUUUGAAACUACAAGGCUAGAGUGUGGCAGAGGGGGGUGGAAUUCCACGUGUAGCAGUGAAAUGCGUAGAGAUGUGGAGGAACACCGAUGGCGAAGGCAGCCCCCUGGGUUAACACUGACGCUCAGGCACGAAAGCGUGGGGAGCAAACAGGAUUAGAAACCCCCGUAGUCC